UGGAAGAGGAAGAGAAAAGGGAAGGGGGACGUACAUGUAGCUCAUUUCACUCUCCGGACGGAAGGAGAUGGACACCUGAACGGGACAUAUGGGUGUAGAAACGGAGGGUUUAGCCACUGAUGCUGAAUGGAUGGGGUCGUUGCGACGUCACGCGGAGCCCCAGCCGCGCAGCACACGAGCCAACACAAGACGACAUUGGCAAGCGCGAGGCGUUCUCAAUCGCAGAGCUGUCCAUGUUACCGAGAAACGCAAUCUUCACGAUAUAGUCUGAAGGAAAGGAGCCCAUGAUAGGUCUGAAUCUGAGGUUCUCAUUUCCCCAUGGCUGGAAGAGAUGGUUGGCCGAAGGGGUUGGCUGUUAUCUUUGGUUAUCUAGCUGUAUGAGUGAUGUACGUUCUUCAUAAAGCUAGAUAACCGAAAGUAACAAGAAUCCCAUUACACACCUGAAAGGCCACACCCAUCCAACACUUCACAACCCACCCUUUGCUUUCUCUUCUCACAAGACUCAAGACAUCCAGAAAAAAACUGAAUCGACGUCCAAUCUCGUGUUGAAAAGAUGCCAGCGAAAGGGAUGGAAAACAUGGCGGAUGUUAAGGAGGAGGGGUGGUUUGGUGUUGAGACUCUCUGUGCCCCACUAUGCAUUGCUGCUCUCAGCCCCUCCUCUCGCUGCCUGCCUGCCCCUUCCUCUUGUGACGAGCGGCAAUCCACGCUUCACCACCAUCUUAGAGAGCGCUGGCAUGAAAUGGAAGAGGGAGGAAGAAUGAGCAGGUGAUGAAAGAAUAGAAGUGGACUUUUUUAGAGAUGACAUCAGAUCAUGGAUGAAAAAUCAUUUCCUGCUGAUGAAGUUUUCGACCCAGAUGUCUGCACCAUUUUAUUGUGUGCCCCAACAUUACUACAUCGAAGCACUUUAAAUGCCUCUUUAUUUUGUUUGCACAUGUUGUCAUUUUUGUUUUGAAAUUUUUGUUAAGUCAAUUAUCUAUAAUAAUGUUGUCUAUUAUAAUCCGAUAUUCUCACAUUAGCUGUGAAAACUCUACUAACUGAAGUUACUAUCAGACAUUUCAUCUCAGUCUAGUUUGCUACAACACAAAAUGCUGUGUGCUUUUUUCUUUUUUUUUUUUUAAACUAUAAUACUAUCAUACAGAGGCAUUUAAUGCAUUCUGUAUGUAAGUAUAUAAUCUAAGCCUGGUCAAGACAAUCACCUAGUCAAGUGUGCUUAGACAGGCUGUUAGCAUAAAAUCAAUCUAGCAUAGAGCACUUUAAACAUUCAUGUAACCUUUCCUUUAUCCCUUUCUCAUGUUUUGUAUUUAAUGUCACAGGCCAGGCUUGAGAGCAUCUGCUAUGAUGAAAAUGACACUAAUGUGUUUGUAAUGUUGUGUUCAAAACGAGUAGCUAAAUAUUAGACUAAUGGUGUAGAGAUCAUGAAUGUGAGACCCACGGCAGCAGUGAAGGGUUACUGCACUGUGAUUGAACAGCUCUGUGUGUUGAUAUUUACACACAUGGUAUAGAGAGAGCUGUUGUCUUUAUUCUCUAUGCAACUGAGUUGGUCAUGCAUUAGUCGGUCAUUAAUGAUUAGUGCAUGACCUGUCCUGAGCAGAUGGAACAUCCUUUAUUCAAAUUUGAACAAAACAAUUGUAAAAUGUUAUACGCGAUACUGGGGUAAAAUUAAGGAGAAGAAAGUCUGUGUGAUUUUUUUGUGUUCUUUUGUCUAUGCAGUCUGAUUGAAUCUUCACUCAUAAGAAAUAAGUGAUAAUCCUGCUUGCACUAGUAGCUCAUGUGAAAUAACGUAAAGUGUAUGUAAUGUAGAUUGUAUGUAAAUGUAAAAUACUACUACUGUUAUUAUUUUAAUAAUCCUAAUUCCUGAUGUGCUGUUAAAUAAUCUUAAAAUUCAAUUCGGGCAGAGGCAAACACAUAUUUUAAUGAUCUAUGCAAAUAUAUUAAUAUUUGAUCAUAUUAAUGAGCAUUGUGGCAAAUGAUUUUGAGACCCUAUUUUACUCUCUUGUACAGUGAAGUCCUUGAAUCUCAGUCCUUGAAGUCAAUCGAAAAGCAAGUAAUUUUAGUUUUACCUAGAAAUGUAAAAGAAAUGUGAGUACUAUGAUUAAAAAUCAUUUACUAUGCAAUUUAUCGUGACGUGUUUGAGUGUGUUUCUAAAUGUUAUAUUCCCUAAUGUGUGCUUUGUGGCAUUUUUAGAUAAAAAGUAACUUGUAUGUUAAGACUAACAUGAUUAACUUUAUUAUUAGGCCAUUGUGGCAUUGAGCUAAUUUGUCCCGUAAUGGAUAUUAAUA